UACGAAGGGGGCUAGCGUUGUUCGGAAUCACUGGGCGUAAAGCGCACGUAGGCGGAUUUGUUAGUCAGGGGUGAAAUCCCGGGGCUCAACCUCGGAACUGCCUUUGAUACUGCAAAUCUCGAGUCUGAUAGAGGUGAGUGGAAUUCCUAGUGUAGAGGUGAAAUUCGUAGAUAUUAGGAAGAGCACCAGUGGCGAAGGCGGCUCACUGGAUCGGUACUGACGCUGAGGUGCGAAAGUGUGGGGAGCAAACAGG
rnacentral:rRNA from 1 species